rnacentral:misc_RNA from 1 species
UUAACUUAUUUGUUUUUUACUCAGAGAUCCACUAUAAUACAUGAGAGUUUUGUGACCUCCGGCGGGCGCCCCGCACCUCCGGGGAGGCGCGGCGCCGCGGCCCCCGGGGGGAGGCCGCACCGCCGAAGCAACUUGGACGAGUUCGCGAUGGUUUGAAGUAGCCUUUCGGCUUCUUGUAAUGAUCCCUCCGCUGGUUCACCAACGGAGA